rnacentral:rRNA from 1 species
UACAGAGGUCUCAAGCGUUGUUCGGAUUCAUUGGGCGUAAAGGGCGCGUAGGCGGCGGGGUAAGUCGGGUGUGAAAUCUCAGAGCUCAACUCUGAAAUGGCACUUGAUACUGCUCUGCUAGAGGAGUGGAGAGGAGAUUGGAAUUCACGGUGUAGCAGUGAAAUGCGUAGAUAUCGUGAGGAAGACCGGUGGCGAAGGCGGAUCUCUGGA